rnacentral:lncRNA from 10 species
ACAUGCAUGGCAAGUGUCACACAAAAAUAAACUCAGAAAAUUUUCAUUCUCCAGUGAUGUGGCUUGACACAAAGGUGCAUUCAGAGCUAAGAAAUGAAAAUAGUGGUAAAAGUCAAUUAUGAGAAAGCAAAGUGGGUUAGUAGAAUGCAGGGCGUGUACGCCAAGUGCCUAAUCCCAGCUUGCCUGCUUAGUAGCCAUGGAACCUAUUUAGAUAUUUUUAGGUCCACCUGCUUCGUGUAUCAAAUGUGGGGAUAUACAAGAUCAAGGAUGUCAAAUAGGUUUUCAAUGCAAGUGUCAACUCGAGAGGUUUAUUGGAAAAGAUAAUGAGGCCUUAUGUCGGCCAUGAGAAAUAGUGAUGUGAUUCUUUACUGAUAUUCUCCAUCAGUACAGGAUCAGGGAGGAGCCCAGCUCUGGGACAUGUUGGCCAUUCGUGGGCUAGGAGAUUAUCUGUGUUCCUCUCAAUUUUAUUUUCCUAUGAUUGAUUAUCAUCUUGAAAUGAGUCCAAUCUGAGACUUGGACACUUAGGGCAUUAGGAAUCAGCAGAGAAGUGUUCUUUGCUGUUUAGCUGUAGGACAGGCAGGAUAGUGGUUAAAACAAUGGACUCUGUAGCCAGAUUGCCAGGAUUUGGAUGCUUAGAUGUUUUGAAAGCUUAUUUCAGGUCUCUGUGCCACUGUUUUCCUAUCAGCAAAAUAGGUGUGAAUUAAACUAGUUGACACAGGAAAAGGGCAUUGAAAAGUGAGGUGUUAGCAUAUGGUAAGUAUUUAAUAAACUCAUUGUUAUAGAUAUUGAUAGUGAGAAUAUAGUGAUCAGAGGAUGCUAAACAGAGACCCAGGAUGUGGACUAUUGAAGAAGGACUCCCUUAAUUGUCUUCAUGCAUUCAGAUGAAGACAUGUGAUAGAGAUGGACCUUCAGGAAUGCCUGUGCUGUAAAUAAGGAAAUAAAAAGAGUCUCCCGGAAACAGGGAAGCAAGAGACCCCAGGAUCUUCACAUCAGCCAGAGGUGCAGGAUGCUCUGGACCCCAGAAAGAAUAGGAGAAAGAUCCCAGGUAUGACACAUACCCAGAGACACCAUGCUCAUGU